UGACUCUGGUUUCUCUUCAUAACGCUUUGAUUCUUUCGCCUUUUACUAAAGACUUCCGUGAAAGGGAACAAACAUGAGUUGAAUAUAUUUUGGGAGCUUUGCUGUAUGGCUGGGCC